AACGAACGCUGGCGGCAUGCCUAACACAUGCAAGUCGAACGAAACCUUCCUGUCUAGUUGCGCACCGCUGCUUAACGCCUGGUAACCUACCCGUAGGUUCGCAAUCCUUCCCCUAAGGGGGUCCUAAUACCGCUUAAUGUCUUACCACCUACGAUUUCUCGCCUUUGGAUGGGCCCGCGUUGGAUUAGCGAGUUGGUAGUGUACAAGCCUACCAAGGAGAGGUUCCAUAGCUGGUAUGUUAGGAUGAACAGCCAGAAUGGAGAUGCGACACGGACCAGACUCCGACGGGAGGGAGCAGAAGAGAAUAUUGGACGAUGGGCGAAAACCUGAUCAAGCAAUGCCGGGUGAGUGAUGAAGGGGUUUGGGUUGUAAAGCUCUUUUACACGAGAUGAUAAUGACAGUACCGGGAGAAUAAGCUCCGGCUAACUCCGUG
rnacentral:rRNA from 1 species